UACGUAGGUGGCAAGCGUUGUCCGGAAUUAUUGGGCGUAAAGCGCGCGCAGGCGGUCCCUUAAGUCUGAUGUGAAAGCCCACGGCUCAACCCCGAGCGGUCAUUGGAAACUGGGGGACUUGAGUGCAGAAGAGGAGAGUGGAAUUCCACGUGUAGCGGUGAAAUGCGUAGAUAUGUGGAGGAACACCAGUGGCGAAGGCGACUUUCUGGUCUGUAACUGACGCUGAGGCGCGAAAGCGUGGGGAGCAAACAGG
rnacentral:misc_RNA from 1 species